GGGAAAAUGUCCUCCCACUCCGCCCCUGGGUCUUCUUAUUCUAUGGGUUCACUUCAUAGAUCGAUUGUAUGUAUGGAAGAUGAACGUAUGUAUGGAAGAAUGCCUUGGAUGAACAAAUGGCUAUCACAUCUAUGAACUUUAGGCAGUUAAAAAAAGAGUAACCUGUUAACAACAACUUCACCAGAAGCAGAGAAUAGGUCCUCCUCAGGCCUGUGCAUGUUCCUUGUAACUGGUGGCUUGUAAGAUGCAUUACAGUGCGAACACAUACAGUAGGGUCUAUAUGAUGACAAUAUAUAUUCCAUUCCAAUAUAUAUUCUAUUCCAUUUGUGCCCAUUGUACUGUAAGAACUUGCAAUUCCACCUUGGGGGCAAGUGGUGAAUGGGAAAAAAUAAUGGGAAUCAAAAUUUACCUGGUAAGAAUUAUGGAAUUGUGGAAAUAUGUAAGAGAUGUUGUUGUCAAGGAAUUUCAUCCUAUAGGCCUACUGUCUGGCAUUCUGCUCAUAUAUUCUGAUGAUUCAUUGUAUAUUAACUAAGGGGCAAAAAUAUCCAUAUGGCUGAAAUGAAUUGUCAUUACAACAGAUUUUGCAUUUAUAUUCCUGGUUAUAUUCCUGGUUCCUCCAUGUUAUUUUAGGCAGCUCCAUUGACUCCUGUUCUGAAAAAAAAGAAGCAAAAAACUGUAGUUGGUUUUUGUAAGGUAUUCUAUUUGCUAUAUGAUUGCAGCUAUGAAAAGGGGGAAGGAGACAUCGUCCAGAAUUGGUGCAGAGCUGUUGCCUGUUGCAGUGCAGUGCACCACUGACCGACGCUAUUUGCUUGGAUGUUGCUGAAAGAAAGGAGACAUUCUUCAUUGAGCAGCACUACUGUGGAGGCCGAGAGAGUUUUGACGAGGCUUGAUUCUGUACCCAGGAGGCGGAGGCAGCAAGUGUGUGUGUGUGUGUGUGUGUGUGUGUGUGUGUGUGUGUGUGUGUGUGUGUGUGUGUGUGUGUGUGUGUGUGUGUGUGUGUGUGUGUGUGUGUGUGUUGUCCAAUAACUGCACUAAGGAACUUUUGACCCUUGACCACUGGACAUACUUGUUUUUCCUGCUUACCACAAGCAAAGACUGUGAUCUGUCGGAGCUGGCCCAGUUACUGGGG